rnacentral:lncRNA from 1 species
UUUUCUCCAGAUAGCACAUAUAAUCUAUGCCCUUUGCUAUACUUGAAGUCAUUGUAAUACUUUGUUGUAUGCAGGUGUUUUUAGGCCAUAGUGGAGGGCUUGAUACAGAUGGAAAUGAGCUACCUAGACUUGUUUACGUUUCUCGUGAGAAGCGACCGGGCUUCCAACAUCACAAGAAGGCCGGAGCUAUGAAUGCCUUGGUUUGUCCUGAUGAAGCUUCUCAUUUUAUUUAUUUGUAGUUUUACAUGGUGUAUACUUUUUUAUAGUGCAUUGCUUUGCCCUUAUUGAAUUUAUGGCCUUCAUAUAGUGGUAGGUUUUGUUUAUCUGCUUGUGUCAAAAUAUUAUAUGUAUAUAUAUAUAUAUAAAUGGAAAAUAGCGUACAAAUUGAUACCAUGAUUCAGCUCUGCCCAACUAUGAGUAACAUUUUCUAAAACAGGUUGAGGAUGUAUGUCAAUCACUUUGCUAGUUCUGCUUCUGCAUGCAGAUUUUGUUUUCGUGUUUCUAUGUGAAAUUGUUGCUUUUCCUUCCUGCAAACCAAUGAGGCACUUACUGUUGCAUAUGAUGGUUGUACAUGUGUUUUUAACCUGAAAGUUAUGUUCUGAGCAUAUCUAACAGUGGUUUUCCUUCUGUGAUGUAGAUUCGAGUAUCUGCUGUCUUGACCAAUGGUGCUUAUCUUUUGAACGUCGAUUGUGAUCACUAUUUCAAUAAUAGCAAAGCUGUUAAAGAAGCCAUGUGUUUCAUGAUGGAUCCUGCUUUUGGAAAGAAGACAUGCUACGUACAAUUCCCUCAGAGGUUCGAUGGCAUUGACUUGCACGAUCGAUAUGCCAAUCGCAAUAUUGUGUUCUUCGAUGUAGGUGUCACUUUAUUUUUCAUUUGGUUGCAACAGAGAAAUUCCUUCCUUUUAGUCUUCACUGCUUUGGCUAAAUUUCAUUUCGUUUUUGUACCUGUCAGAUCAACUUGAAAGGUCUUGAUGGUAUUCAGGGCCCAGUCUAUGUGGGAACUGGUUGCUGUUUCAAUAGGCAGGCUUUGUAUGGUUAUGAUCCUGUUUUGACUGAGGAAGAUUUGGAGCCUAACAUUAUUGUUAAGAGUUGUUGUGGUUCUAGAAAGAAGGGAAGGGGUGGCAAGAAGUACAAUGACAAGAAGAGGGGAGUUAAAAGAACUGAAUCAACCAUUCCAAUCUUUAAUAUGGAAGACAUAGAGGAGGGUGUUGAAGGUAUGGUAUCAUGAUAAUCUUUAUCUUAACUCCUAUUUACAGUGGCUAUGCAUGUAGAAUUUCAUAAGUUGAAUUUGUUGCAAUUCCAUUUUACUCCCUAUCUCACUGAUCAAAUUCAUUAGUAAUUUACCCUAGUUUGCCAUAGUUUUUAUGCCAGAUACCUUUACAUAAUUGUCUGAAAGUUGAGACGAUGAUGUCAUAUCAUUAUGAUAUUUAAUGCCUUUCUUGUACAGGGUAUGAUGAAGAAAGGUCACUUCUUAUGUCUCAAAAGCGUUUAGAGAAGCGUUUCGGUCAGUCUCCAGUUUUUAUUGCUGCUACCUUUAUGGAACAGGGUGGCAUUCCACCUUCAACCAAUCCUGCAACUCUUCUUAAGGAAGCAAUCCAUGUUAUCAGCUGUGGCUAUGAAGACAAGACAGAAUGGGGAAAAGAGGUUAGCAUGUCUACUUAUCAUCGUGCUUUUGAUUCUGAGAUUAACGAGUAGAUUGUUUUAGUUUAUUGAUUACACAUUUUCUGACUUCACCAGAUUGGAUGGAUCUAUGGUUCUGUUACUGAAGAUAUCUUGACUGGGUUUAAGAUGCAUGCUCGUGGUUGGAUUUCCAUCUAUUGCAUGCCACCUCGCCCAGCAUUUAAGGGUUCUGCUCCCAUCAAUCUUUCUGACCGUCUCAAUCAGGUGCUUCGGUGGGCCUUGGGUUCAAUUGAGAUCUUCCUGAGCAGGCAUUGUCCCCUGUGGUAUGGCUACAAGGGGAAGUUGAGGUCUCUGCAGAGACUUGCUUAUAUUAACACCAUUGUCUACCCCCUUACCUCAAUCCCAUUGAUUGCUUACUGUGUGCUUCCUGCAUUUUGUCUCAUCACAAAUAAAUUUAUUAUUCCUGAGGUAAGUAGAUUCUUCUAUCUCAUUUUUCUGAUAAACUUAUAAUUCAUAACGUGUUCUAAUUGUUGAUAUAGAAUUCUAUAUCUUGGAAUCCUGAUGCCAUUAACAUUUGGUUAAUUUUGCAACUAUUUACUUUCAAUUAAAUUAAUAACUGAGAAGCAGAAUUUGGAAGGUUUGGUAAUUAUAUGUUUGAAUUUCAUUCUUUUCACCUUAGGUGUCAAUUGAUUUUUUUCUGGACAGGGUGGAUGAUGCUCGACAGCCUUUGAGUCGUGUGGUGCCUCUUCCUUCAUCCCAGAUCACCCCUUACCGUGUUGUUAUCAUACUCCGGCUGAUUAUUCUUUGCUUCUUCUUACAAUACCGUGUAACUCACCCUGUGAAAGAUGCAUACCCACUGUGGUUGACAUCAGUUAUUUGUGAGAUUUGGUUUGCCUUAUCCUGGCUCUUGGAUCAGUUUCCAAAAUGGUAUCCCGUUAAUCGCGAGACUUAUCUUGACAGGCUUGCUUUAAGGUCUGGAUUGCUCAUUUUAUCCAUGUUUUGCUGGGCUUUGCAUCUUGGUUUUACUAUGUUGUGGCAUUUCUCUUUCACUAAUCUUAGUUUGUCUUGUUUAGAUAUGAUCGUGAAGGAGAACCAUCACAGUUGGCUCCUGUUGAUGUUUUUGUUAGUACAGUGGAUCCUCUCAAAGAGCCUCCUCUUGUAACUGCAAACACAGUUUUGUCUAUACUUUCUGUUGAUUACCCUGUCGACAAGGUGUCCUGCUAUGUGUCAGAUGAUGGUUCAGCUAUGUUGACCUUUGAAUCCCUGUCAGAAACAGCUGAGUUUGCAAAGAAGUGGGUGCCCUUUUGCAAGAAGCACAAUAUUGAGCCAAGAGCACCUGAGUUUUAUUUUGCCCAGAAGAUUGAUUACUUGAAGGACAAGAUUCAACCUUCUUUUGUGAAGGAACGACGGACAAUGAAGGUUGUCCUUGAAGCAUUUAAUCUUCAUUUCUAAUUUAAAACUUAUAUGGUUAUGUAAAUAUAAAAAACUAAGCAUAGACAAUUUUGCUCAAUAGAGAGAAUAUGAAGAAUUCAAAGUACGGAUCAAUGCCCUUGUAGCCAAAGCACAGAAGAUGCCAGAAGAAGGAUGGACAAUGCAGGAUGGAACUGCUUGGCCAGGAAAUAAUCCUCGGGAUCAUCCUGGAAUGAUUCAGGUGUUACCAUUUUCUCCAGAUAGCACAUAUAAUCUAUGCCCUUUGCUAUACUUGAAGUCAUUGUAAUACUUUGUUGUAUGCAGGUGUUUUUAGGCCAUAGUGGAGGGCUUGAUACAGAUGGAAAUGAGCUACCUAGACUUGUUUACGUUUCUCGUGAGAAGCGACCGGGCUUCCAACAUCACAAGAAGGCCGGAGCUAUGAAUGCCUUG